rnacentral:rRNA from 1 species
GACGUAGGGCGCGAGCGUUGUCCGGAUUUAUUGGGCGUAAAGAGCUCGUAGGCGGCUUGUUGCGUCAGCUGUGAAAACCCGCAGCUCAACUGUGGGCUUGCAGCUGAUACGGGCAGGCUUGAGUUCGGUAGGGGAGACUGGAAUUCCUGGUGUAGCGGUGAAAUGCGCAGAUAUCAGGAGGAACACCGGUGGCGAAGGCGGGUCUCUGGGCCGACACUGACGCUGAGGCGCGAAAGCUAGGGGAGCAAACGGG